rnacentral:rRNA from 1 species
GACGAACGCUGGCGGCGUGCCUAAUACAUGCAAGUAGAACGCUGAAGAGAGGAGCUUGCUCUUCUUGGAUGAGUUGCGAACGGGUGAGUAACGUGUAGGUAACCUGCCUUGUAGCGGGGGAUAACUAUUGGAAACGAUAGCUAAUACCGCAUAACAAUGGAUGACACAUGUCAUUUAUUUGAAAGGGGCAAUUGCUCCACUACAAGAUGGACCUGCGUUGUAUUAGCUAGUAGGUGAGGUAAUGGCUCACCUAGGCGACGAUACAUAGCCGACCUGAGAGGGUGAUCGGCCACACUGGGACUGAGACACGGCCCAGACUGCUACGGGAGGCAGCAGUAGGGAAUCUUCGGCAAUGGGGGCAACCCUGACCGAGAAACGCCGCGUGAGGGAAGAAGGUUGUCGGAUCGUAAAGCUCUGUUGUAAGUCAAGAACGGGUGUGAGAGUGGAAAGUUCACACUGUGACGGUAGCUUACCAGAAAGGGACGGCUAACUACGUG